ACGGGGGGUGCAAGCGUUGUUCGGAAUCAUUGGGCGUAAAGAGCGUGUAGGCGGCUUAACAAGUCAGAUGUGAAAUCCCUGGGCUUAACCCAGGAAGUGCAUUUGAAACUGUUUGGCUUGAGUAAGGGAGAGGAAAGUGGAUUUCCUGGUGUAGCGGUUACAUUCCUAAAUAUCACGAGGAGCCCCGGAGGCGAGGGCGCCUUUCUUGUCCUAUUCUCAUGCUAAGACACGAAAGCGUGGGUAGGGAACAG
rnacentral:rRNA from 1 species